AGAAAAGCGAUGAAGGAGAGGGGUAUGUGCUAAGGCUCAAGAGAGCCGGUGGUUGGUGCGAACCGGUGCCAAGGCACAUAUUAGAUCGCUCUGGAGCUGUAUAGCUGAACGGUCCUUUGAAAAGGACUCAUUAGGCUAUACCGGGGGUGCCCGUUACAGUUCAAGUUUGCAAAAACUUGGUGAGGCUAUUUGCCGUGAGGCAAUAGCGAAGACAGGUGGUACCGCGUGGAUGAAAAGUCCCCGCCCUGUUA
rnacentral:ncRNA from 1 species